UGGGGAAUAUUGCACAAUGGGCGCAAGCCUGAUGCAGCCAUGCCGCGUGUAUGAAGAAGGCCUUCGGGUUGUAAAGAACUUUCAGCGGGGAGGAAGGCGAUAAGGUUAAUAACCUUGUCGAUUGACGUUACCCGCAGAAGAAGCACCGGCUAACUCCGUGCCAGCAGCCGCGGUAAUACGGAGGGUGCAAGCGUUAAUCGGAAUUACUGGGCGUAAAGCGCACGCAGGCGGUCUGUCAAGUCGGAUGUGAAAUCCCCGGGCUCAACCUGGGAACUGCAUUCGAAACUGGCAGGCUAGAGUCUUGUAGAGGGGGGUAGAAUUCCAGGUGUAGCGGUGAAAUGCGUAGAGAUCUGGAGGAAUACCGGUGGCGAAGGCGGCCCCCUGGACAAAGACUGACGCUCAGGUGCGAAAGCGUGGGGAGCAAACA
rnacentral:rRNA from 1 species